rnacentral:lncRNA from 1 species
AGAAUAAUUAUAUGUGAUGAAAAGGUUCAAGUUUGGAGUUGAAUGGGGAAAGUAAAAAGAAAAGAAAAGCAUUGUGUUCCAAAGAAUGAAAAAGAAAAAUUCAUGAGAAAGGAAAGAAAAGAAGAAAAGAGAAAAAGCAUGUAAAGUGAACUCAAUGUAAAAUGAAAAAGGGAAAAAGUUGGGAAUAAGUGAGAUUGGUUAAAAAGAGAGUGUGCUUGAAAUUUAAAUGAUGAUUUAAACUCUCUUAACUCAAGGAUUUUGUAUUCCAGAAAAACCAAUUUUCUUGAUAGCCCAACCACAAUACAAGCCUUGGAAAAAGUCCUUGUGAUGACAUGUGCAUGUGAAAAUUUUGAUUGUUUUAGAUGAAUGACAAUAUUGUUUUAUGUGACAUGUGAACAGUAGAGAGUAGGGUGACCUC